rnacentral:lncRNA from 1 species
UCCCCUCGCGGCAAAGAAACAAAAGGUGCGACGACCUCUGCCCUCGCGGCCUCGCCCCCAAUUUGUGAUUUCUUGAUUUGCUGAAAUUACUAGAUGGAGGCAGUCGAUCUAUUUAACAGAUGCAAGUAUCUAAAUUUAUGUUCCCUUUGUUUGGCCAAACGUAGAUGAAGAUGAAGAGGAGUGGAAUUGUUGGCAGUAGCAUAUUUGCAAUGUGGGAAAAGGCUUCAAAAGCAAGGAAAAUAGGUGAAGUAUCCACACCGAAUCAGACCGUAGCUGCAUCUAGUACUUGUACUUCUCCUGUUCAUUUGGAGAGCAAUUUGCAAUUGGUGUUAUGGCAAGAACCGGAGAGUAGAGGAGAAACCUCAAUGCCUCAUGUAGAAGAUGAUGAAUUUAUUGAUGAAGAUGAUGAACCGAUGCAAGCAGAUUUGGAGGCACUCGAACAUGAUCCUGGAAAGCGGAUUCCCAUCUCAAUGUAUGCUGUCAAUGACCAAGAUAGAGUAAGAAGGAGAUAUAUUGAGAUGGGGUGAUGUCAACCAAAGAAUCAUGAGUUCAAGUUUACAAAUAAAAGUGGGAAAGAUCGUCGCUUUUGUCGUGCUUGGUUUAAAGAAUUUCCAUGGAUUGAGUAUAGUGUGGAAAAACAUAGAGCUUUCUGCUUCGUUUGCUAUUUGUUCAAGGAUAAAACAAGAUGUCCCGGUGGAGAUGCUUUUGUGAAUAAAGGAUUUAAUAACUGAAACAUGAAGUCGAGAUUGAAGAAACAUGAAGGUGAGGUUAGUAGUGCUCAUGCUGAAGCUCAAGAGAAGUAUGAUAGGUUCACUACACCACAAACAUCAAUUCAGGAGUCUAUUGCUUCAAACACCUCACAAUACAAGGCUUUGUGUAAACAGCGUUUGACAUGGACACUCAAGUGUGUGAGAUUUCUGUUGUGCCAAGGCUUUGCAUUUAGAGGACAUGAUGAAAGUGAAGACUCGCUAAAUAAAGGAAAUUUUCUUGAGCUUCUAAAUUGGCUAGCUGGAAAUUUUGAAAAGAUUGACAGGGUUGUUCUCAAGAAUGCUCCACGGAACUGCAAGAUGACUCACCAUGAUAUACAACAAGAGGUGAUAAAAUGUUGUGCACAAGAGACUACUAAAUUAGUCAUUGAAGAACUUGAUGGUGGUCAUUUUUGCAAUACUUGCAUAUGAGUCUAGUGAUGUGUAUCAGAAUGAACAAUUGGCUGUUUGCUUGCGUUUUGUUGAUAAGAAAGGAAGGGCGGUUGUUAGAUUUCUUGGUAUUGCUCAUGUUGAAGAUACUACCUCUUUGACACUAAAAGCUGCAAUUCAGAAAAUGCUUAUGGACUACAAUCUGACCUUUUCGAUGGUUCGUGGGCAAGGAUAUGAUGGAGCUAGUAACAUGAGAGGUAAUGUUAAUGGCCUGAAAAAACUGAUUAUGGAUGAGUCCCCUUCUGCCUACUAUGUUCAUUGUUUUGCCCAUCAACUACAGUUAACUCUUGUUGCUGUUGCUAAGGAGAGUGGUGAUUGUACUUGGUUCUUUCAGCAUCUUGCACACUUGUUAAAUGCUCUUGGCAUGUCUUGUAAAAAGAUGAGAAUGCUUCAGAUAGCUCAGGCUGAAGAACUCAUUGAUGCAUUGGAAUUGGAAGAAGUAGAAACAGGGAGUGGGCUGAAUCAGGAAAUGGGUUUGGGAAGGCCAUGUGAUACACGUUGGGGCUCUCACUUCAAAACUGUGAACCAUGUCAUCUCUAUAUAUGGUGCACUACGACGAGUCAUUCGCAAGAUUGGAGACGAGUACCAUGGUGCGGAGGCACAAGCGGCUCUAUCCAUAGAGACAAUAUUUCGAUCAUUUGAGUUUGUUUUCAUGGCACACUUGAUGCAAGAAAUAUUUGGAUACACAGAUGAGUUGUGUAGAGCUUUGCAAAAGCAAGACGAAGAUAUUGUUCAUGCUAUUGAGCUUGUUCGUGACACAAAGUAUUACUUGGAGACUUUGAGGACCGAUGCUGGAUGGGAUGAUUUUCUCAUAAAGGUCACAUCUUUUUGUACAAAGCAUAAGAUCAAAGUUGUUGAUAUGGAGGGUCCUUACUUUCCCGUUGGCCAGCCUAGAAGGGGUUUAUGUAAUGGUGUGAUCAAUUACCACCGCUUCAAGGUUGAUAUGUUUGUGGGUGUCAUUGAUAGGCAAAUCAGUGAGCUGAAUGGCAGAUUUGAUGAGGUAAACACAAAGCUACUUUCUUGCAUGGCAACAUUCUGUCCACUUCAUCUAUUUGCUGCUUAUGACCAAGAGAAGUUGGUUAGGCUUGCUACAAAGUUUUAUGCUUCUGAUUUUACAAGUGAUGAACUGGCAAGACUUCCAUGGCAACUAAACAUGUAUGUUACUAAUGUGCGUAGAGAUGAAAGGUUUCAAAACCUGAAAAAUCUGUGUCAACUUUCAGUUGUGCUUGUGGAGACGAACAAGCAUGAACAAUAUCAUAUUGUUUACAAGCUUCUUAAGUUGGUAUUGAUUCUGCCAGUAGCUACGGCUAGUGUUGAAAGGGUAUUCUCUUCCAUGAGCCAUGUGAAGAAUAAGCUAAGGAGCAAAAUGGGUGAUGAAUAUUUGAACAAUUGUUUGGUUACAUUUGUUGAGAGAGAACUUUUCAAUCAAGUGAAGGAUGAAGAUGUCAUCAAUCUCUUCCAAAAAGGUGACCGCAAAGUUAUAUUGUAAGAAGGAUAUCAUCACUUUAUCAAUCAAAAGGUACUUAUGUAUUCAUGUCGUUAUGGUCUGGUACAUUGAAAUAUUGCUAUUAUGGUUAUGCUAGUGUUGUUUUGUUCAUAUAUUGCUAGUGUUGUGUUAUUUGGUUCAUAUACUACAUUUAGAGCAAAAAAUAUUUGAAUGAAUACCCAGCCUUCAUUUCCUGGAGCCGCCACUGCCGACAUGCCCUGCCAACCCACCAAGGUGAUCGCGCUCGGAGGAACCCUGCUGGGCUGGGUGGACCUCUGGCAGGGCAUCGUCGUCCUCGACGUGCUCGACGACGACCCCAUGCACGUUCGGUUCAUCCCGCUGCCCAAGCCCGAUUUCUGCCGGUCCGAGUAUCACGCGCCCUGGGAUCGAGCUCCCCCCAACGCGGUCCACCGGGACAUCGCCUACUGCACCGACGGUUUCAUCAAGUUUGUCGACAUGGAUCUCCGGUUCCGCCACGUUGCCAUGAUCAAGGAAAGGCCCGUGAUCAAGACGACCACGGAUCUCGAUCACGCAGACACCAUCCUCGACUCCAAGCUCCUCCGCCGCGAAUGCGAAGAUAACAACAUACAUUUCGUCCGCGUCCCUAAUGGUUGGAAGAUCCGAACAUGUUACAGGCAUGUUUCGUGGGACUACUGGCGCAAGGACUGUCGGUGUCAAAACCGGCGGAUCUUGGAUAGAAACUCUUGAACCACAUUGUGAGGAUCAUGCCCAUGUCCGAGCUUUUACAUUCUCUCAACAUAUGAAUACACCUCCUCCACCCCACCAAAACACGUGGAACGACGACAUGGAUGGCUACUACUACAAUGGAAGCUUCUAUGGACAUGAUCGAGGUACGACAAUAUCAACUACCAGCUGCAUCCACCCGCCGGAUGGUCGUCUAAUCUGCCACAAUCUCACCAUGCCAGCUUGAAAUCAUUCGGAUCAGGUAAUAACACUCACAAACCUUGUCAUAUGAAAUUGCCCCCCUUUUUCCAAGAAUUUAAAAGUUCCCAAACUUUAAGGUCUUCGAAAUCAAUUUAAGAAAAUAACAAUAUGCAUACAGUUCUUUUCCUGACAUGAAUAUAGUUUUGUGCUACCUCUUACUACUUUUUUUAUAAAGACCUCUUACUAUUUUUUGCUUUUGCUAAAGGUUCCAUCUAUCCAGUGAACCCCCAAUUGAUGUAUCCAGUGUCAACGGUGAACUCUGCAGCCCAUGGCGAACAAUGCUUAUCACUAUCGUUGUUGCCAAUGUGGCCGGAAUCCUCAUAGCCCCCGGCUUAUUCUUCAACAGGCAUGGUUCAAUUUAGUUUCAAUAAUACCUUUAUAACUGUUACAGACCCACAAGGUAUGCAGCGGGCAAAAAUUAUGGUAAAGGGCUGGUGGUGGAAGAGAUGUUUUUGUUCUUGUUUCUGGAAGUUCUGGGGUGUUGAGGACUGUAGGAAGUUUACAUGAACUUUUUUUAGCAGUUUUGGUGUGAAGUGCGCUGAAACGAAUUUCAGUGCAUUCCUACUGUUUGGUAGUACUUCUUUUAUUUCGGUUAGUGUGUCAGUUUUUAGUAUAUUUUCAGUUCGCUGUGUUUAUAUUUCAGUUCCUCGGAAUGGGCACCAUAAGUGUUUGUUUUAGUCUUUCAGCUAUUAGUCUCAGUUUUUUAGUAGAUUCGGUUUUAGCUGUUUUGGUAGAUCAUUUUCUUAGCUUUAUUGUUGAUUCAUUUUUAGUUCUUUUAGUAUAUCAUUUUCUCAGCUCUAAUGUAUUUGUUUGAAUCAUCAUUUAGUUUUCAGUUUUUAGUCACCAGUAUUCCUAAGGAUCAGUACCUUAAGUGUUUCAUUUGACGAAAAAGGGUUUCCCCCGCUUUGUAUUACAAAGCAACCACCGAUACAUCCAACGAUAGGUGCUGGGGCCGCAGCACAGAUAAGCCCAAAGAAAAACAAAGAAGAAAGGAAGAGAAACAAAUGCCAACAACGGCAGAUCGAC